AUUGAACGCUGGCGGCAGGCUUAACACAUGCAAGUCGAGCGGAAACGAUGAUAGCUUGCUAUCAGGCGUCGAGCGGCGGACGGGUGAGUAAUACUUAGGAAUCUACCUAGUAGUGGGGGAUAGCACGGGGAAACUCGUAUUAAUACCGCAUACGACCUACGGGAGAAAGGGGGCAGUUUACUGCUCUCGCUAUUAGAUGAGCCUAAGUCGGAUCAGCUAGAUGGUGGGGUAAAGGCCUACCAUGGCGACGAUCUGUAGCUGGUCUGAGAGGAUGAUCAGCCACACCGGGACUGAGACACGGCCCGGACUCCUACGGGAGGCAGCAGUGGGGAAUAUUGGACAAUGGGGGAAACCCUGAUCCAGCCAUGCCGCGUGUGUGAAGAAGGCCUUUUGGUUGUAAAGCACUUUAAGCAGUGAAGAAGACUCCAUGGUUAAUACCCAUGGACGAUGACAUUAGCUGCAGAAUAAGCACCGGCUAACUCUGUGCCAGCAGCCGCGGUAAUACAGAGGGUGCAAGCGUUAAUCGGAAUUACUGGGCGUAAAGGGAGCGUAGGUGGCUCUAUAAGUCAGAUGUGAAAUCCCCGGGCUUAACCUGGGAACUGCAUCUGAAACUGUAGAGCUAGAGUAUGUGAGAGGAAGGUAGAAUUCCAGGUGUAGCGGUGAAAUGCGUAGAGAUCUGGAGGAAUACCGAUGGCGAAGGCAGCCUUCUGGCAUAAUACUGACACUGAGGCUCGAAAGCGUGGGUAGCAAACAGG
rnacentral:rRNA from 1 species